UACGUAGGGGGCAAGCGUUGUCCGGAUUUAUUGGGCGUAAAGAGCGUGUAGGCGGCUAGGUAGGUCCGUUGUGAAAACUCGAGGCUCAACCUCGAGCUGUCGAUGGAAACCAUCUGGCUAGAGUCCGGAAGAGGAGAGUGGAAUUCCUGGUGUAGCGGUGAAAUGCGCAGAUAUCAGGAAGAACACCCGUGGCGAAGGCGGCUCUCUGGUACGUGACUGACGCUGAUGUGCGAAAGCGUGGGGAGCAAACAGG
rnacentral:rRNA from 1 species